UGCACUUCCUCGCGGUUUGCAGUGGUCUGGUAGUACGAGGCUCGGCAGUCAAUGGACAUCUUGCAACCGCGAUUUUGACAUAAACGAAGUGCUGUCUUUUUGCGCACCUUUCGAGCAGUAACCUGCGCCGUUUAUUGAAAGGGGGCCUCAGUUUUUGUCGUCUGCUGAACGUGGUUUUCUCGGCACAAAUCAACUUCAAUAAAUUAGACGACAGUGUAUAUAUUGAGUAACUGGUAUUUCAUUGGGGUGGACAAGGUCUGUGACUGUUGUUGUUGACAAGAACUGUCUGGCUUGCUGCAUUCUGGGUGUUCUGACCAUUACUAAUGGCCAUGUGAAGUACGGUAUAUGUUAGUCUGCAUGUUAAUGUGGCAGCUAUGGCAGAACCUAACAUCUGUGGUUGUACUUAGAAAUGUGAGAGCGUUACCUGGGCCAUCAAGCUACACCUGGUACUGAAAUAAUCCAGGUAGCCAAGCAUGGUGUUUGUCCUUUUGUUGGCGAUGUCACAUUACUGGUUGAUGACACUUGAAAGACACCAUGUAUUUGAGACAACAGCAAAAUCAACAUGGUCCUUAAUACUUCUAAAAUGAUCUGUUGCCAGACAGCUGACAGUUGUUUGGCUGAAAUUCUUUGUCAACAUUAUUAAUUAACAAUGAGUUGAUGUCUGCUACUUGUUAUGAGUUCAUUUGAAGCCAUGCUCUAACUAGAAGAAGGAGUCAUGAUCAGUGAAACCUGCACUACUACAGAAAUGGGAGUGAUGAAAGUAGUCUUAGUUGCUAGUUGUACCAAGAGGACAGUUGUGACUUCAGGGUAGCAAUAAAAUGUUUGUCACUGCUUAUCUUGCAUAUGCAUUGGAUGUCCACAAAUAAUCAUGAGUCAUCUGACUCUUGUCAGAACUAUAAUUAUAAUAACGUCCAAACAUUGUGGUCAGAUCUAUAAUUUGUGACUUGUAAUAGACAACUGCCAUUGUGUAUGUGCAACAGCAGCAGUCGCUAUUUCUUUUCUCACCGGAUGCAGAUCAGCAUCUAUACACAUGAUGCAGUCAAAACGUAGACAAUAGCUAUUGAAUUAAAUGAGAAUUUAUUUAAUUCGCUAACAUACCACAAUGUAUAUUAAGUUCAAGA